GGGGGAGGGGCGGGGUAGAAGGUAGAAUGGCUGAGCAAGGCAUUAGACUGUAAAUCUAAAGACAGAGGCUAAACCUCUUUUUACCAGCCCUGAGGCAGUAUGAAAACGCCGGUGUCUCUGUGCGGAAACUCUGAGAGGAGCAGAGGUCUGUAGAGGUAGAGACGCAGGCUUCGGAUUUUUCAGAAUUCUGCUGGAAGUCUCCAAGUCAAGGUGAUCUACAAAGAAAUACUGAGUGGAGACUAUACUGAGAUUCUAUUAAAGACCCACUUGAAUUCAGCCCCCAUUAGGAGAAACUUUGGCCAGAGCAGCCAACACAUCACCUGGAAGUCUUCAGACUAGGUAAGCUGCACUGUCUGAAAAGAAAGUUUCCACUGUCCUAUUUCUGUCUUGUGAUUAUCUAGAGUUUGAAGAGUUUUGAAAUCAUUUUUAUCACCAUGAC
rnacentral:lncRNA from 1 species